UUUUAAAAGUCUUUUAAUUCUUCACCACAAAAGGGAGUGAACAUAUUCCUGGGAUGUGGAAUGUAUUACGCUCAAGUUUUUUCCUGGAAGAGCCCAAGUUUGGAGAUAAAAAGUGAAGACUUUAAGAGCCCAGGCUCUAGAGUCUAUUUUGGAGUAGCAUCCUUGGCUUUUUGGUUCACUAACUAUAUCACCUAGGCCCCAGGACGCCUGCUGCCCCCAGCGUCCCGCAGCGUGACUGGUUAGUGUUACAGCACAGACAGGUCCUGCAGACCGAGGACCCGAGCUGUCUUCAGUGCUGCCGAGCAAGUGCUUCCUUACACACAUGAAGGUUACCUAAUGGUUGUGCCCUCCUGUGCUUGUGUAUUUGUUUGUUGAACCAUAUUUUGUGAUCAGAGGUUCUUAACCUGAGCUCCAGUGAGCCAAGAGCACUUGAAGCUCAAAAUGGUAGACAAAAUUUUGUACCCUUGGAAAUGUUGAUUUUUAUUAAGGGAAGA